rnacentral:tRNA from 1 species
GCCUGACUCGGUCAGUCAGUAGAACAUGAGACUCUUGAUCUCAGGGUCAUGAGUUCAAGCCCCAUGUUGGGGG